rnacentral:rRNA from 1 species
UACGUAGGUGGCAAGCGUUGUCCGGAAUUAUUGGGCGUAAAGCGCGCGCAGGCGGUCCUUUAAGUCUGAUGUGAAAGCCCACGGCUCAACCGUGGAGGGUCAUUGGAAACUGGGGGACUUGAGUACAGAAGAGGAAAGCGGAAUUCCACGUGUAGCGGUGAAAUGCGUAGAGAUGUGGAGGAACACCAGUGGCGAAGGCGGCUUUCUGGUCUGUAACUGACACUGAGGCGCGAAAGCGUGGGGAGCAAACAGG